rnacentral:piRNA from 1 species
UUUCAACCAUAAAGGAAAGUGGUGAA